AUUUUUUCCUAUAUCCCUCCCCUCGUUUCCUCCCCUCUACCGCCCUCCGCCGCGAAGGAAACCGAAAGCGCGAGAAGAUCUGCCUCCUCCUCCUCCACCGCCGCCGCCGAUCGGGCCGUCGGAAUCCUUCUCGGGUCCCCUACUUUGCUGUACGGAAAGCGGUGAAUCCGACGAGGCCCAGGCCCUUCCCCCACAGCCAGAGGGCGUUUGAUAGUGACGAUCUCCUUUGAUUCCUUCUCUUCCUCGUCUAUUCGAUCGCUUUCCGUUUCCGUUGAUUGGAAGAUGACGGAAGAUAGGAGUCCGAAGGUUUCCGAUGAAUCCACUUCGGCCGCAACCGCUGCGCGGCAACGGAAAAAACGAAAGUGGGACCAGCCUGCAGAGUCCUUGAUAUCUGCUGGAGUUGCCGUCCCAGGGGUCUCAUUGGGCAUGGGUGGUGGUGGUGUUGGAAUUUCUCUCCCAGGAGCUGUUCCACUUUCUGGAGUUCCAGCAGCUUUCGCUACUGUCUCUCAGUUGAUACAGUCAUCUUCACUCUCACAGAGCGCUGCUGCAAUAGUUCAGAAAUUAAAUCAGCCAAAAAUUCAAGAUGAAUUAAUAGCACGAGAAAUUGUUAUAAAUGAUGCAGACCCAGCCAUCCGAUACAAGCUUACAAAACGUCAAACACAAGAAGAGAUUCAGAAAUGCACAGGUGCUGUUGUCAUAACCAGAGGCAAGUACCGCCCUUCAAAUGGAUUGCCUGACAGUGAGAAGCCAUUAUAUCUCCAUAUUUCUGCUGGGUCCCAUUUGAAAGACACUGUUGAGCGCAUUAAAGCAGUUGAUCGUGCAGCUUCCAUGGUUGAGGAAAUAUUGAAGCAAGGAUCGAAUUCCCAGCCAGCUUCUACCUCUUUCCUCUCAACUCUGAGUAAUGGGCAGGUUACUCAACCUCAGAGCACAUGCAUAUAUCUGGGCUUUGAUGCAGACCCAUCAUUAAAUAUUGCAGCUCGUAUCCGUGGAGCAAAUGACCAGUAUAUAAAUCACAUUAUGAAUGAAACAGGAGCAACUGUUGUACUGAGAGGACGGGGUUCCGAAAAUCUUGAUAGUUCUCAUGCUGAAGCAGGGCAGCAACCCUUGCACUUAUAUCUGUCAAGUACUAAUCCAAAGAGUCUUGAAGAUGCAAGGAUGCUAGCUGAAAACCUACUGGACACGAUUUCUGCUGAAUGUGGUGCUUCUAGGAUUUCAUCAUGUAAGGUCUAUAAUGCAGUUCCUCCCCCGCAACAAUUGAUGGCUGGUGUUCAAAAUUCAAAUGUAUCGGAUGUAAACGGCAAUCUAGUUGCUGGAUUGCCGUGCACCGCUGCUGGCUUUACAGCAGCAACACAGUCUUUUCUACCUACUGGAGUUUCAGUUUCUACAGGCUCCAGUGUGUGUCCACCUGGGGCAUCUGGGGGCCUGCUCGGUUAUGGAAGCCCACCAAGCAUGGUUAGCUACGCCCCUCCUUCAGUGACUGGGGGAACAUGCUAUAGCGGAUAUGAAGGGAUAUACCCACAAGCCACACCAUUGCAGCAAGUUGCUUUGGCACUCAGGCAGGCACCAGCUUCGACUGCUUCUGUCGUUUCAUCCUCAGCUUCAUUGAUAAGCACAACACCAAAGACAAACUCAAGCUCAAAUGCUGAUGCAGAUAAACGCCCUCCACAGAAGCGGAAAUUUCAGGAGCUACCAGUCACUUCAAAGGAGCCAGCAGUGCUUCAUCAGGUAUUUUCUCUGACCUUCUCUGAAGCUGACAGGCUGGUACUGGACCUGUCUGUCUAUUGGACUUGCAUGUUUCACAGGGUUUUCAAGUCUGGAGUUGCAACAAGAUCAGGAGGCUUACUAGUUGCAGCCUUCAACCAAGGCAACUUAGGAUUUUGCCGCUUGCAGAUUGCUUCAUAUGGCAAAAUAAUAUUUACGUUGUCAUUUUGACUUUUCCCCUUAUUUGAUACUAAUAUGUUGCAUUUCCAAAUUUUAUAAGGAAGUUCUUGCUGACCUGUCUGCGGAGAACCACCAUAGACUAGCGAUAACCAUAGUAGAUGCAUCAGGCUUAAUGCACAUAAUCAAAUUUAAGUUCCUGUUUAUCCAAGUUUGAUAUACUUGUUCACUUGCACCUCGCUCCCUUCAUUGCUCCUGACCUCCUGUCUUUUGGCCAUUGUCCUCUCUAAUUCUUGGUAUCCAAGCUGGCUCAUGCUCUCGCUUGAACAUUUGACAGGCAAAGAUUGGAUUUUGCCUUUUUUGAACUUUUUUUUGUUGCAGGGUUUGGAUCUUUAAGAAUUUUAUUCUCAAUCUAAGAUUAUGUUAUUGAGAAAAUGGAUUUUUUAUUUGGUUUUUCCAGAACUCACAACAGGGAUCAGAAUUUCUUAAGGCAGGUUCAGAGGAUUCAGGUUUAGGGAGUGUUACGUCCAUGCCACCAUCAAAGCUGGUUGAGCCUAGGUCAAAUGGCAUGCCGCCACCACCUCCACGGAAUAUGCCUCCCCCACCACCAAAGUUCUCGUUGCCACAAUCAGCUGCCAAAAUCGAGAAUGGGGACAUUGAUUUGAAGAAAUCAAGUGCUCCACCACCUCCCCCAAGAAACAUACCUCCCCCACCACCAAAGUUCUUAUCACACUCACCUCCCAAAGUUGAAAGUAGAAGCUCGGUUGCAAAGAAAUCAAGUUUGGAGCCUGUCUCUGAUAUAUUGCUGAAGCUUGCAGAGUAUGGAGAUGAGGAUGAUGAUGUUGACGGUCCCAUUGAAUUGCCCAAGGACAAUCCAACUCGAAAUUCAACCUCCAAACCAUUUUGGGCAGUGUGAUUUAUGAAGUGUGGAGUGGCGUUUGAAGGAGCCAGUGGGACAUUUUCUGCCUCUUCUCGCUGCAGUCACUUUGCAUCUGCGAGCUGGCCACUGCUAGAGGAUGCUGCAUGGAUCAUUUUUUGGAUGACCACAAGUUGGACAUUCAACAUUUGUUGAAGUGCUGAUGGCCUAUAAUUUUUCAAUUCAUUGUCGAAAGCCUCAUGUUAAGAUGCAGACAGGGAACUGUAGUUUCUGAGAGAGCGCAUGGACAUGAAUAUAGAUAUGAUAGGUUAUUUGGUUUUGUUUCUCAACAGCCAUGUUUUUCUUGGCCCUUGGAGGCAUAUUGGCGUUAAACACCAGUGUACUAAAUACUUACCCAACCUGUGGAUUGCAGAUGUAGUGUAGGAUCAUGUGCCUAUGCUCAUUGAUGGUGUUAUGCAACUAUUUUAGUGACGUUGAAAUCCUUGUUGUAUCAAUUUUUCCAUUUGAAUCU